AGAAUCAACGCUGGCGGCGUGCCUAACACAUGCAAGUCGCACGAGAAAGGGGAGCAAUCCCUGAGUAAAGUGGCGCACGGGUGAGUAACACGUGAAUAAUCUACCUCCGAGUGGGGAAUAACUGAGAGAAAUCUUAGCUAAUACCGCAUAACACUUACGAGUCAAAGCAGCAAUGCGCUUGGAGAGGAGUUCGCGGCCGAUUAGUUAGUUGGCGGGGUAAUGGCCCACCAAGACGAUGAUCGGUAUCCGGCCUGAGAGGGCGCACGGACACACUGGAACUGAAACACGGUCCAGACUCCUACGGGAGGCAGCAGUGGGGAAUUUUGCGCAAUGGGGGAAACCCUGACGCAGCAACGCCGCGUGGAGGAUGAAGCCCGUUGGGGUGUAAACUCCUUUCGAUCGGGAAGAUAAUGACGGUACCGAUAUAAGAACGCCCGGCUAACUUCGCGCCAGCAGCCGC
rnacentral:rRNA from 1 species